AUUUAAUGCAGGGGAGUUGGAUGACAUAAAUGAGACAAAAUUUGUCAGGAUUAUUAACCCUUUCCUCCAUAAGGAACUUAUCAUUUCUUAUUUGGGAGGGGGGGACUGGUCAUAAAAAAGGGGGUUCAAUUUUGUUUAUAAAUUCAAAGGGGGGAUCAAUAUUUUUUGAACAUGGAAAUAAGUAUUUAACAUUCUUCAAGAGACAAAAUGUCGAAGAACAUCAAAACAGUCAAAUGGAAAUAUAUGUUUACCACUAUUCAUAUACAAUAAAGUAAAACAACACAGGAAUUUGGUGAUGUAGGAAGCUGC
rnacentral:lncRNA from 1 species